GGCACGCUGACACGUAGGUGAAGUGAUUUACUCAUGGAGCUGAAGUCAGUCGAAGAUACCAGCUGGCUGCAACUGUUUAUUAAAAACACAGCACUGUGCAAACACGAAAGUGGACGUAUACGGUGUGACGCCUGCCCGGUGCCGGAAGGUUAAUUGAUGGGGUCAGCGCAAGCGAAGCUCCUGAUCGAAGCCCCGGUAAACGGCGGCCGUAACUAUAACGGUCCUAAGGUAGCGAAAUUCCUUGUCGGGUAAGUUCCGACCUGCACGAAUGGCGUAAUGAUGGCCAGGCUGUCUCCACCCGAGACUCAGUGAAAUUGAACUCGCUGUGAAGAUGCAGUGUACCCGCGGCAAGACGGAAAGACCCCGUGAACCUUUACUAUAGCUUGACACUGAACAUUGAGCCUUGAUGUGUAGGAUAGGUGGGAGGCUUUGAAGCGUGGACGCCAGUCUGCGUGGAGCCGACCUUGAAAUACCACCCUUUAAUGUUUGAUGUUCUAACGUGGACCCGUAAUCCGGGUUGCGGACAGUGUCUGGUGGGUAGUUUGACUGGGGCGGUCUCCUCCUAAAGAGUAACGGAGGAGCACGAAGGUUGGCUAAUCCUGGUCGGACAUCAGGAGGUUAGUGCAAUGGCAUAAGCCAGCUUGACUGCGAGCGUGACGGCGCGAGCAGGUGCGAAAGCAGGUCAUAGUGAUCCGGUGGUUCUGAAUGGAAGGGCCAUCGCUCAACGGAUAAAAGGUACUCCGGGGAUAACAGGCUGAUACCGCCCAAGAGUUCAUAUCGACGGCGGUGUUUGGCACCUCGAUGUCGGCUCAUCACAUCCUGGGGCUGAAGUAGGUCCCAAGGGUAUGGCUGUUCGCCAUUUAAAGUGGUACGCGAGCUGGGUUUAGAACGUCGUGAGACAGUUCGGUCCCUAUCUGCCGUGGGCGCUGGAGAACUGAGGGGGGCUGCUCCUAGUACGAGAGGACCGGAGUGGACGCAUCACUGGUGUUCGGGUUGUCAUGCCAAUGGCACUGCCCGGUAGCUAAAUGCGGAAGAGAUAAGUGCUGAAAGCAUCUAAGCACGAAACUUGCCCCGAGAUGAGUUCUCCCUGAGACUUAGAGUCUCCUGAAGGAACGUUGAAGACGACGACGUUGAUAGGCCGGGUGUGUAAGCGCAGCGAUGCGUUGAGCUAACCGGUACUAAUGAACCGUGAGGCUUAACCUUAC
rnacentral:rRNA from 1 species